GCAAGUCGAACGAAGUAGCAAUACUUAGUGGCAGACGGGUGAGUAACAUGUAGGUAUCUGCCCUUUGGCCUGGAAUAACACGAGGAAACUUGUGCUAAUACCGGAUAAGUCUUUACGGAGAAAGCUUUAUGCACCAUUGGAUGAGCCUGCACUUGAUUAGUUUGUUGGUGGGGUAAUGGCCUACCAAGACUGUGAUCAAUAGCUGAUUUGAGAGGAUGAUCAGCCACAUUGGGACUGAGACACGGCCCAAACUCCUACGGGAGGCAGCAGUGGGGAAUCUUGCACAAUGGAGGAAACUCUGAUGCAGCGAUGCCGCGUGAGUGAAGAAGGCCGUUGGGUUGUAAAGCUCUUUCGUCGGGGAAGAAAAUGACUGUACCCGAAUAAGAAGGUCCGGCUAACUUCGUGCCAGCAGCCGCGGUAAUACGAAGGGACCUAGCGUAGUUCGGAAUUACUGGGCUUAAAGAGUUCGUAGGUGGUUGAAAAAGUUGGUGGUGAAAUCCCAGAGCUUAACUCUGGAACUGCCAUCAAAACUUUUCAGCUAGAGUAUGAUAGAGGAAAGCAGAAUUUCUAGUGUAGAGGUGAAAUUCGUAGAUAUUAGAAAGAAUACCAAUUGCGAAGGCAGCUUUCUGGAUCAUUACUGACACUGAGGAACGAAAGCAUGGGUAGCGAAGAGGAUUAGAUACCCUCGUAGUCCAUGCCGUAAACGAUGUGUGUUAGACGUUGGAAAUUUAUUUUCAGUGUCGCAGCGAAAGCGAUAAACACACCGCCUGGGGAGUACGACCGUAAGGUUAAAACUCAAAUGAAUUGACGGGGACCCGCACAAGUAGUGGAGCAUGUGGUUUAA
rnacentral:rRNA from 1 species